rnacentral:rRNA from 1 species
GAACGCUGGCGGUAGGCCUAACACAUGCAAGUCGAACGGCAGCACAGGAGAGCUUGCUCUCUGGGUGGCGAGUGGCGGACGGGUGAGGAAUACAUCGGAAUCUACUCUGUCGUGGGGGAUAACGUAGGGAAACUUACGCUAAUACCGCAUACGACCUACGGGUGAAAGCAGGGGAUCUUCGGACCUUGCGCGAUUGAAUGAGCCGAUGUCGGAUUAGCUAGUUGGCGGGGUAAAGGCCCACCAAGGCGACGAUCCGUAGCUGGUCUGAGAGGAUGAUCAGCCACACUGGAACUGAGACACGGUCCAGACUCCUACGGGAGGCAGCAGUGGGGAAUAUUGGACAAUGGGCGCAAGCCUGAUCCAGCCAUACCGCGUGGGUGAAGAAGGCCUUCGGGUUGUAAAGCCCUUUUGUUGGGAAAGAAAUCCAGCUGGCUAAUACCCGGUUGGGAUGACGGUACCCAAAGAAUAAGCACCGGCUAACUUCGUGCCAGCAGCCGCGGUAAUACGAAGGGUGCAAGCGUUACUCGGAAUUACUGGGCGUAAAGCGUGCGUAGGUGGUCGUUUAAGUCCGUUGUGAAAGCCCUGGGCUCAACCUGGGAACUGCAGUGGAUACUGGGCGACUAGAGUGUGGUAGAGGGUAGCGGAAUUCCUGGUGUAGCAGUGAAAUGCGUAGAGAUCAGGAGGAACAUCCAUGGCGAAGGCAGCUACCUGGACCAA